AACGAACGCUGGCGGCAUGCCUAACACAUGCAAGUCGAACGAUGCCACCGGGCGUAGUGGCUCAUGGGUGUGGAACGUGUCGGAAGCGGCACGUGUGCUUGGAAUACCAGUGAGUAAUGGCUGCUAAUACCGGAAGACUUCUUCUGACCCAAGAUUUGACGUCCUGGUAUGAGCCCGCGUAGGACUAGCUUGUUGGUGGGGUAAUGGCCUAUCAAGGCGUCGAUCCUUAGCUGGGCUGAGAGGCUGGGCAGCCACACUGGGGCUGGGACACGGCCCAGACUCCUACGGGAGGCAGGAGUGGGUGAUAUUGCAAAACGGGGGCAAUCAUGAUGCAGCUAUGCCGCGUGAGCGAUGAAGGUGUUAGGGUUGUAAAGCACUUUUAUCCGGGACGAUACUGACGGUACCGAAAGAAUAAGCACCGGCUAACUUCGUG
rnacentral:rRNA from 1 species